AUUGAACGCUGGCGGCAGGCCUAACACAUGCAAGUCGAGCGAGCGGCGGACGGGUGAGUAAUGUCUGGGAAACUGCCUGAUCGAGGGGGAUAACUACUGGAAACGGUGGCUAAUACCGCAUACUAUCGGAUGUACCCAUAUGGGAUUAGCUAGUUGGUGGGGUAAAGGCUCACCUAGGCGACGAUCUCUAGCUGGUCUGAGAGGAUGAACAGCCACACUGUGACGGAGACACGGCCCAGACUCCUACGGGAGGCAGCAGUGGGGAAUAUUGCACAAUGGGCGCAAGCCUGAUGCAGCCAUGCCGCGUGUAUGAAGAAGGCCUUAGGGUUGUAAAGUACUUUCAGCGGGGAGGCGUUACCCGCAGAAGAAGCACCGGCUAACUCCGUGCCAGCAGCCGCGGUAAUUC
rnacentral:rRNA from 1 species